rnacentral:rRNA from 1 species
GACGAACGCUGGCGGCGUGCCUAACACAUGCAAGUCGAGCGAUGAAGUUUCUUCGGAAACGGAUUAGCGGCGGACGGGUGAGUAACACGUGGGCAACCUGCCUUAUAGAGAGGAAUAGCCUUCCGAAAGGGAGAUUAAUACCUCAUAAGAUUGUAGCUUCGCAUGAAGUAGCAAUUAAAGGAGUAAUCCGCUAUAAGAUGGGCCCGCGGCGCAUUAGCUAGUUGGUGAGGUAACGGCUCACCAAGGCCACGAUGCGUAGCCGACCUGAGAGGGUGAUCGGCCACAUUGGGACUGAGACACGGCCCAGACUCCUACGGGAGGCAGCAGUGGGGAAUAUUGCACAAUGGGGGAAACCCUGAUGCAGCAACGCCGCGUGAGUGAUGACGGCCUUCGGGUUGUAAAGCUCUGUCUUUGGGGACGAUAAUGACGGUACCCAAGGAGGAAGCCACGGCUAACUACGUGCCAGCAGCCGCCGUAAGAC